rnacentral:tRNA from 1 species
GUGGCUAUACCUCAGUGGUAGAUUAUAUGCUUAGCAUGCAUGAGUUCCUGGGUUCAAUUCCCAGUACCUCCA